rnacentral:rRNA from 1 species
GUGGGGAAUAUUGGACAAUGGGCGCAAGCCUGAUCUAGCCAUGCCACGUGAGCGAUGAAGGCCUUAGGGUUGUAAAGCUCUUUCGUGGGGGAAGAUAAUGACUGUACCCCAAGAAGAAGCCCCGGCUAACUCCGUGCCAGCAGCCGCGGUAAUACGGAGGGGGCUAGCGUUGUUCGGAAUUACUGGGCGUAAAGCGCACGUAGGCGGACUGGAAAGUCAGGGGUGAAAUCCCGGGGCUCAACCCCGGAACUGCCUUUGAAACUCCCAGUCUUGAGUUCGAGAGAGGUGAGUGGAAUUCCGAGUGUAGAGGUGAAAUUCGUAGAUAUUCGGAGGAACACCAGUGGCGAAGGCGGCUCACUGGCUCGAUACUGACGCUGAGGUGCGAAAGCGUGGGGAGCAAACAGGAUUAGAAACCCUGGUAGUCC